UCCACCUCAUCAUUAGUUCCCCACGCCCGCCGCCUGGGGUCCGUGGUCGAUCCCGCGCCGUCGCACCGCCGCCAUACACCGCCCGGGGCUAUCGCCAGUUGAUCCCACCCCGCCCUGCCUCUGCAGCGCUGCCCCACGCCGCCGUCCUUCUGUCGCGCCGCUCCAGCGCCGCCCAAUGCUGUCCGGCCUCUCCACCGCCGGCACCACGCCCUCGUGCUACAUCCAGCAAAGCUGCCGCCCCCUCCCUAGCCCGACCUCCCCCAUCUCCACCACGAAGGGACAAACAGCGGCAGCGGCGAGUUGGAUCGGGGCAGCGUGCUGCUGGGCAACGGCUGAGGUACAGCUCCUUCCUCUCAUCCUUGCCUCCCUCCUUCUAUCUCUCCCCCCCUGGUGGCAUAUUGCGACAGCGUGCUGGCGUGGAAAAGAGUGCUCCGGUGGUGGGGAAUGGGGAGCUCCAGUGGUGGGGAACGAGUAGAUGUUCAGGACAAGGCACCUCAUGCAUUUCUUCUCUGGUUCUCCGGUUUGCUGUGUACUGCUGCUAGCUAGCCUAAUUGUGAGAAGUUGAGCUUUGAGAGAAGCUUUAUGGUAGCAAUAUGAACUAAUUUUAGAAGUUGAGUUGUUGUGUGCAGAUUUUGUUUAUUUCCAUUGCAAAUUUUGUGGUAGCAAUAUGUAUUGAUCCUUUCUUUCCAUUGGCCAUAUAGUUCACCUUACACUAAGAGUCAUGUUUUUGGUGUUACUCUUGUUAUGCUUCUGUGCAAGAUGGGUUAUUUUUUGUUCUUCCAAAAAAAGUCCCCUAGAUCUGUUUGUGUUUUGUGCUUAAUCUGCCAUGAUGUGCUUAGUCUGCCACCAUGUUUAAUGUCUCUGUGUGCUUCAUAAGAGGAUUGUUCAUAUGUAAAAACUUUCCUUUUACAUAAGAGGAUUGUUCAAGUUAAUUAAGCUACCAUGGAUAAACUUUCCUUUUACAUAGCUUCAGUUUGUCUUAGAUAACUUCCUCUUGUACUGUUUGUUCCUGAAUCUAGUCCUUCAGUUUGUUCAUGAAUAACCUCCUGUUGUACUGUUUGUCAUUAAUCUUGUCUUUCAGUCUGGUCAUGAAUGUUUUGCUGAAUAGAAAAUACUCAUCGUCUUAUUUUUGGCUAAUUCCAUAAUUGAUAUUUUUUGUAACUACAAGUCUCACUAGGCACACACACAUUUAUGAGCAUUAGGGCGCAUCCAUAGUACAGAACAGAGCAUCAUACACUGGUAGUUGCUUUUAAAGUUGCUAUUUCUGAAUCUUGUUUCUAGGCUAACCUAGUAUUUAUAAUCUUUAUUUCUCUUAUGCGUAACCUGAUGGUUUCAUAGGUUCUGGCUCUUAUACGUAUGAAGAUUUGUAUGUAGAGUACAUAUGCUUCUCUGAAAGUAAUGGCUUAAUUUAAUCUAAUUUGUGGCACUGAAGUACAUAUGUUUUUCUCUGAUGCAUUUCUGAAUAUAAGUGGCUCUUAUUUGAUGCAUUGCCAGGAAACCUGAUUGAUGCGUACCUGGUGUUGGUAAUAUGCGUGCGUGUGUAGCGCUGUUAUUCCCCGGCCUGAGAGAUGUGUGUGUGGUGUUGAUGGAUGCAAGAUGCUUAGGUGUUGAUUAAUGCGUGUUUGUGCUGGAUCGAUGCAAGAGCUGCAAACUGAUGUCCCCUCUCUGACGCAUGUAAAUCAUCUAUGCGUGCUAAAUUUGUACUGACAUGUCCCCUAUCUGUUGCAUAAUUUUCAUGACAACCAGCACAUAGGAGCAGCUCUUGGUGAUUUUAGCAAAAGUUCACGCCCAAGGGGUUCACUGUGUGGCCAUGAGAGGUAGCAAACAAACAACCUAUAUCUCCCCCUAGAUAAGAAAUAAAGGCCGGUAAUUUUUCUCCUAAAUAUGUUUUAGUUGUGAAGUAGUUUUUUGAACAUAAUCACAUUGUUUUGCUGCUUUGAUGAUUGUUUUUCCUACACUUUAACAAAUAUGUAUUAUUUAUUGUGGCGAAUUUGGAGUUGAUGCAUAGGGCAGAAGGUUUCAUUGAGUCGUCUUAUUCUCUUAGCUGUUUCCUCCACAAUUUAUUUCUCUUAUUUUUCGGAAAGCAUAAAUUUCUUGUUCAAGGUAAGCACAAUGUUAUUGUACAUAUACUUAUUGGAUGUAUAUGAAUACAAGUAAUUAGUUGUUUUAAAUGGAAGGUUUCAUUGCAUCGAGCAAACAAACUUUAAAUGUUUAUGGCACUUACUAUAGUUGACUUCUCAUUUUUUGCACCGGAUUUUCUAGCAGUAUAUAAUCUAUGACAGGACUUGCCGCUUAAGCAAUGUGAUUAUGGGAAAUUGGGGACAGAAGCAACAAGUGUGUGAACUCAAACUUCUGUGUGAGCUCAUACUGGUUGCCUGGCAAAAAGCCCAGGAAGAUAGCCCGGCAAAUGUUCGUGCUUCAGAAUUUUCGGAAGUUCUUCUACUUCUAUCACAUCAGCAGAGCUUGAUCCUCAUGCCUUGCACACGUGUUCUUUUAAUAAUGUAAGUAUACCUUUUUCUCCUGUUUUAAUGCACAAGCAAAUUUUUGGUUGAGUUGAUUCUUGAGAGUAUCACUUGAAUAUAUCAUCAAUAUAUACAUCUAUUUCCCCUGUUGCAACGCAUGGGUAUUGGCCUAGUUUCUAGAAAAAACUGUAGUUUUGAAAAUACUUUGAGGUGUUUGGUCCAAGUACAUACCAUAGUUUUACAAACUAUAGUAUCCCCAAUGUAUUUAUAGUAUCCCCAAUGUAUCUAUUGUUGCCACCAGGAACUAUAUAACACAAAAAUUAUGUCUUUUGAAAAUAGAACAUCUGAAGCUUAUAUUGGUAUAUUUUUUGUAAUAUAUUACUUGUAUUAGGUUGGUCAAAUUGACGACCUAGGGGUACGCGCACGCCUUGUAAACUGAGAGAGAGGGAGUACAAAUCUACUUAGUGGAAAGGAAAUUUCAUCAGCUUGCAUAUAUAUUAAUUGUAUGCUUUUUUGUCUUUCCAGGUUGCUGUUGGAUUCUGUAGGAAAGACAAAGAGGACCAAGAAGUAGAUAUCUUCUGUAAUGGAGCAAAAACAAUGAUCUUGUAGCUAUCAGUUUGCGUCAACUAGAUAUCUUCUGUAACGGAGCAAAAACAAUGAUCUUGUAGCUAUCAUUUUGUAAUGGAUAUCUUGUGUAACGGACCAUACAUUGAAUCGUCAAACAUGCACCUAUCAUUUUAUAAACCUAUUGGGUGUUUCGGUCACUCCUACAAAUGUAACGGACCAUACCAUUGGCAAAAUGUUUACGAACCAUCGAUCGGCAAAAGGAAGCCUUGUCCUAUAGUUGGUCGGGAAAGGUUCAUUGUAGGGCCAACAAAAAGUUGGUUGGCAAAACUAAUAUCAU
rnacentral:lncRNA from 1 species